UAAUACGAGGGGGGCAAGUGUUGUUCGGAAUCACUGGGCGUAAAGGGAGCGUAGGCGGAUGUUUAAGUUGGAGGUUUAAAACCGGGGCCCAACCUCGGAGCGGCCUCCAAAACUGGACGUCUUGAAUGGAACAGAGGCUAGUGGAAUAGGGGGUGUAGCGGUGGAAUGCGUAGAGAUCCCCUAGAACACCAAUUGCGAAGGCAGCUAGCUGGGUUCACAUUGACGCUGAGGCUCGAAAGCAUGGGGAGCAAACAGG
rnacentral:rRNA from 1 species